rnacentral:rRNA from 1 species
GCAAGCGUUGUUCGGAAUUACUGGGCGUAAAGGGCUCGUAGGUGGCCAACUAAGUCAGACGUGAAAUCCCUCGGCUUAACCGGGGAACUGCGUCUGAUACUGGAUGGCUUGAGUUUGGGAGAGGGAUGCGGAAUUCCAGGUGUAGCGGUGAAAUGCGUAGAUAUCUGGAGGAACACCGGUGGCGAAGGCGGCAUCCUGGACCAACACUGACACUGAGGCGCGAAAGCCAGGGGAGCGAACGGG